rnacentral:piRNA from 1 species
GAGAAGCCAGGCCUUCAGAACACAUUGCU